rnacentral:lncRNA from 1 species
UACUGGUCAUGGCUCUCUGGUGUGCCUGCCUGGAAUCCCAGCAGCCUGCCUCUAAUAUAUUGUUGUGUUCUUUGCAGGCCUACUGAUUCCUGGGGGCUCUUGUUCUACUCUACAGCCUGUACGUGAGAAGACAGCAGGAAGAAACAAGGAGUCAGUCUCGUGUAGUAACCCAGUCAGCUCAAGUUUGAAGUAAAUCCUACAGAAUCACUGAAUGGUUAAGGUUGGAAGGGACACCACUCACAGUGAGAUUCAGGAGGAGCAAAAGAUGUGUUUAGGCCUUGUUGUAGCCGUCUCCUGCUGCUGACUUAAUUAAGACCUGCCAGUCUGAGACCAGCUCUUCCCAGCGGUCUGCCGCAGUCUGUCACAGCCUGCUUUCAGCGUGACAGGUAAGGGCAUGGUGGCACUCAGCCGUCUCCUGCUGCUGACUUAAUUAAGGCCUGCCAGUCUGAGACCAGCUCUUCCCAGCAGUCUGCCGCAGUCUGUCACAGCCUGCUUUCAGUAGCCGUCUCCUGCUGCUGACUUAAUUAAGACCUGCCAGUCUGAGACCAGCUCUUCCCAGCGGUCUGCCGCAGUCUGUCACAGCCUGCUUUCAGCGUGACAGGUAAGGGCAUGGUGGCACUCUGUUCUGUUUGCCUUGUGCACUUGUGCACAGAAAGGAGGAUGUCAGCUGUCCCUACACCAAACUGCAC